UCGAGUAACUACGUUGUCAUGGCGGGUGGAUCAAAAACUAGUAACCCAGAUCUCGAAGAUUUUUUACGGCGUAUUGACGAAUUAGAGUCAGUAGUGAAAGGCGACGAGUCUCAUGAUGCAGUGAAGGAGGGUAGUUCCUCCACCGGUCCAGGAAGUUCACCAAACCGCCGGCAGCAGCAGAGCCCUGUUGACCGUACAGUCAUCAACAAAGCAGCUUUUAAGGAUGAGACAGCUAUUAAGGGCAUUGCUGGAGGAAGUAAUCCUGCAUUGGAUCAAGAUGGUUUCUUGAGGUCCAUGGAAGCGGACGCCAAUGAGCGCGCUAUGAAGCGCAAGAAGAGGAGAGAGGAGGCCACCAUCUUUAAGAAUCAGGGAAAUGAGAAAUUCAAGAUGGGCAACUUCCUUCGAGCCGUGGAGCUAUACACACAAGGUCUGGAGCGCUCGAAAGAUUUCACAAUACUGUAUACUAACAGAGCUCAGGCCCUCAACAAACUGUCACGUUUUGAGGAAGCUAAGGAAGAUUGCCAUACAGCCUUGCAGCUUGAACCCAACCACGUUAAGGCUAGAAUACAUCUUGGGAAGGCAUAUCUUGGACUGAAGGAAUACGACACUGCUGUCAAGACGUACCAAGAAAUACUAGAGAUCGACCAGAAUCAAGAAAAGACUGUCAAAGGGUAUAUCGCUGCAGCUCGCUUAGCAGAGUCCUUAGCAACGUCGGCGCUGGAAGCUGAGAGACUGUUCAACGAAGGUGAUACAAAAGCAACCGGGGUAGUUCAGAUCCUGUCCAAGCUAAAACAACCACAUCAACCCAUCCCAUAUUAUGCCGGGGGAUUCAGAAUUCUGUGUACUGCUAUAAAUGACUGUUCAUCGCAAGCACUGUUCAGACAGUAUGGAGGCUUUCACCUUUUAACAAAUGUCACAGCAAUAAGCCAAUGCCUUGAUGACGCAAUAACAUGCAAUGAUCUUAGUUCAGAUGUCGAAGACCUCAUUUGUGUGAUCCUUGAAAUUUUGAUAACUGCUGUUACGGAUAACAUCGAAAAUUCUGCUUUUCUGGUGAAUCUUAGUGUUUUUCCAUCCCUCGUUCUUGGUCUGCUUAGACAAAAAUCAGAAGGGGGGCUGCGACAUCGAUGUGUUUUGAUGCUCUCCACGUUGUCCAAAAACGCAGAGGGACAAAGUGGAAUUGUUAAAAAUGUUGACCAACAGGAGAUGCUAUCUCUACUAGUGACUUUCAUCCAAUCGUCUUCUCCACUGGAAGUACGCACCACAGCUUGUAGGCUUCUGAGAGAUCUAGCAACAAACAAAGAGUUUCAAUCGAAGUUUCAAUAUGGAGCCGACACUCAUUUAAUCCCUGCUUUUACAAGACUUUUGGUGAACACUGCUCCUUCCGAAGACUCUUUACUUAUGUGCUGCCUUGCAAUGAUGGACAGUAUGGCACUUAACCCAAUAAUCCGUCAAGCAAUGUAUUGUAACGCUCCGUUUGUGCAGGCUAUCGUCAAAAUCAUUGAGACUUAUUCUCGGAAACAAGAGAUGGAGCUGCAGAGAAACGUCCUCUUAUAUGUGAUGAACCUUCUCCUUAACAUGUGCGUUAAGUGGACCCCCAGAUUUGAUGAAAAGAGAACCCCAUUACCCAUAGAGGGUAAGGUACUUUUCCCAACAUUACUGUUCUUGCUGGACAGUGGACAAGAAAACAUCAGAAAACGUUCCCUUGGAAUACUCAGUCAUGUCUUACCUUUCGGUGAUGAGAGUCUAGCAGAUGUAGCAAAAGGAAACUACAUUCCAAAGAUAAUCAGGGUCAUGAGGGGUGGGGACCUGACAUGUGGCCACUAUGGCAUUAAGUGUCUUGCAGUUCUAACACAGAGGAGUGAUAAAGCUAGGAACGAUAUGGUCAGAACAGAUCCAGAACUGCAAUACACCCUGGGGCUUCUGAAGACAGAUAGUGAUGUAAUGAUUGGCAAUGCUGCUCUAGUGCUGAGCCACUGUACACAGGUAGCUGGAUUGAGUAGCUCUCUUGUACACACAGACAUCAUUAAGACGCUUCUAUCCGAAACAGACUCCUCGGACGAGUCUGUUAAAAAGAACUGUGCUAUCGCAGUAGCCAAACUGGCGACAACUGAUCAAAGACAUCUUGAAGAAUUGAGAAAACUCGGUGGAAUUGGAAUCCUUCACUCUUGCAUGAAAUACAUCAAAUAACAGUUAGAGGCUCAUGGUCGUCUUUCCCUGCCUGGUGUUCACAAAGUGACAGUUGCUUCGAAAUCUGGGAGACAGACCAAGACCAAGGGCCAGCAGCCCAAAACCAAGGCUGGGACCAGGAGUGUUUUCAACACCGAGAUCGCAAGACCUCACGCUUAA